UGGUGCCUACGGGACGCAGCAGUGGGGAAUAUUGCACAAUGUUUGGAACCCUGAUGCAGCGACGCCGCGUGAGUGAAGAAGUAUUUCGGUAUGUAAAGCUCUGUCAGCAGGGAAGAAGAAAGACGGUACCUGACCAAGAAGCCCCGGCUAACUACGUGCCAGCAGCCGCGGUAAUACGUAGGGGGCAAGCGUUAUCCGGAUUUACUGGGUGUAAAGGGAGCGUAGACGGCAGGGCAAGUCUGGAGUGAAAGGCAGGGGCCCAACCCCUGGACUGCUCUGGAAACUGUCCGGCUGGAGUGCAGGAG
rnacentral:rRNA from 1 species